AGCGAACGCUGGCGGCAGGCUUAACACAUGCAAGUCGAACGGGCAUAGCAAUAUGUCAGUGGCAGACGGGUGAGUAACGCGUGGGAACGUACGUUUUGGUUCGGAACAACACAGGGAAACUUGUGCUAAUACCGGAUAAGCCCUUACGGGGAAAGAUUUAUCGCCGAAAGAUCGGCCCGCGUCUGAUUAGCUAGUUGGUAGGGUAAUGGCCUACCAAGGCGACGAUCAGUAGCUGGUCUGAGAGGAUGAUAAGCCACAUUGGGACUGAGACACGGCCCAAACUGCUACGGAAGGCAGCAGAAGGGAAUAUUGGACAAUGGGCGAAAGCCUGACCCAGCCAUGCCGGGUGAGUGAUGAAGGGCGUAGGGUUGUAAAGCUCUUUUGUGCGGGAAGAUAAUGACGGUACCGGAAGAAUAAGCCCCGGCUAACUUCGUG
rnacentral:rRNA from 1 species